ACAUUUUCUGAUGAACUUUACGUACCGCCCCAGUCUGAAAAAUAAUGACUGAUUGGUUACUAUCUUCUGAAGAUAU
rnacentral:snoRNA from 1 species